AGAGAGGCAGACAAACAGAGAGGCAGGCCGAGAGAGGCAGGCCGAGAGAGGCAGGCCGAGAGAGGCAGAGCCAGGAGAGAGAGGCAGAGCCAGGAGAGAGAGGCAGAGAGCCAGGAGAGAGAGGCAGAGAGCCAGGAGAGAGAGGCAGAGAGCCAGGAGAGAGAGGCAGAGCCAGGAGACGGGGAAAGAGAAAAGAGGAGAGCUGGGUAAAGGGGGAUACUUAUUCAGUUGCACAACUGAAUGUAUUCAACCGAAAUGUCUUCCAUAUUUACCCAACCCCUCUGAAUCACAGAUACUAGGGGUUACCUUAAUCGACAUACGUCAUUGGCGCCUGGGGAGCAGUUGUUGUUGGGGUUUAACUGUCUUGCUGCAGAUUCUUCCACCUUGCCAGCUCUGGGAUUCGAACCAGCAAACCUUUCGGUUACUGGCCCAUGCUCUUAACCGCUAGGCUAGCUGCUGCCCAGAGGAAGGGAGAGCCAGGAGAAAAGGAAGGAGGUAGAGCUGG
ensembl:lncRNA